UACGUAGGGUGCGAGCGUUAAUCGGAAUUACUGGGCGUAAAGCGUGCGCAGGCGGUGAUGUAAGACAGGUGUGAAAUCCCCGGGCUUAACCUGGGAACUGCAUUUGUGACUGCAUCGCUGGAGUGCGGCAGAGGGGAUGGAAUUCCGCGUGUAGCAGUGAAAUGCGUAGAUAUGCGGAGGAACACCGAUGGCGAAGGCAAUCCCCUGGGCCUGCACUGACGCUCAUGCACGAAAGCGUGGGGAGCAAACAGG
rnacentral:rRNA from 1 species